AUGGGUUCAGCAGGGAGGUUCCUCGAUGUCCGCCAGGGAGAGCGAAGCAUCGAGGAUUAUGCCUGGCACUUCGUCGGGGCGGCUCGGUUUUCGGCGACAGAGAAGACCUGUCUUAUGGUCUUCUUUUGGGGAGGACUGGCCGAGCCCUUUAAAAUAUUCAUGCCAUACUGGCACCCCGACGAGACGCUGGAGGACUACAUUAACCUGGCUCUGCAGCUGAGUGGCUCAGCCGUCAGGGUGGGGGGGCCGACCCAGGAAGUUCCCGGCGAGGCGGCGGGGCUCGCUUCCGGCUUUCAUGAAGCGGCCGAGCCCGCAGAUGUUCCCUGCGAGGCGGCGGGCGCCGCUCACGACUCUCCCGAAGUCCCCGAGGCGGCGGACGCCACUCACGACUCUCCCGAGUCUCCCGAAGUCCCCGAGGCGGCGGUGGCCGUUCACGACUCUCCCGAAGUCCCCGAGGCGGCGGACGCCGCUCACGACUCUCCCGAGUCCCCGAGGCGGCGCCGGGUGCCGCUCACGAUUCCCCCGUGGCGGCGGCGGGUGCCGCUCACGAGUCCCCCGAGGCGGCGGCGGGUGCCGCUCACGACUCACAGAGGCGGCAGUGGCCGCUCGGAAAGAGCCAGAGGCGAAGGUGUCCGCUCACGAUCCCGGUUUUGCCCUGGGUUCCCACUCCACCGGCUCUGCCUCAGUCACCUGGUCCCCCUCCAGCACACGGACCUCUCCUCUGGGUGGGGGGCCGCUGGAACGUCUGGAAUCCGUUCCUUAGAGGGGGGUCCUGUCAUGAGUCCGGACCCGGGGUUUCUCCUUCUCACCACCAGAGGGCGCCACUUCCAUUCUCCCGGACUCAUUACCGUCACUCUGCACACCUGGUUUACUCGACACACCUGUUUCACCCACUCACACGCACACACCUGGUGCCUAUUGUCACGGACUAUAUAGUUUUGUCUCACCCACCACUCUGCCUGGCUGUAUUGUUUAUUGUUAAUUGUUAGUCGAAUUCCGAGGUGUAUGCGUGUUAUCUGUUUCCUUUUUGUUUUUGCCCUGUUGGCCUUUUUGUUCUUAUUAAAGUGAUAAUUUCCCUGCAUUUGGACCCAGACCCUGUUUCUUCCACGGCGCUCUUUACCGCGCCGUGACAAUGUUGUUUACAUUAACUUUAAGAAAAGAAAUAAGACUGUUUGAAAAAGGAACUUUGAUUAUUAAAUUAGUUUUUAAAAGAGGUAAAUUAUCAUUUCAAAUUUAAUAUGGGUUUGAAUAGAUUCAGUCAGAUGGCCAGUUUACAACCAGACGGUGCAUCUUACUCAUCGACUCGGGUCAACUUACCCUCACCCUGGGGCAAACUGAGCCAUGGGAACACUUUUUUAUAAGAAGCCAUAUUUUUAGAACCCUUUGUCAUAGAUACAUCCUGAUCAGUGGUGUAAUGUAACGAAGUAAUAAUACUUUGUUACAGUACUUAAAUAUUUUUUGGGAUUGUCUGUACUUUACUUGAGUUUUUAUAUUUCAGGCAACUUUUACAUUUACUCCACUACAUUUCCUAAUUAAAAUGUAUAAUUUUACUUUGAUACAUUUACCCGAAGCAUAUUCGUUACCUGCUACAAAACAGUCAGAAGAACACGGACUGCAGGAAAGCAGGUUUGAUGAAUCAGUGGUCUGGCAUCUGCAAGUUAGAUUCCUAAAAUCUAGCUCUGCUCACGUGCAAACAAGUGCGUGCACAACCGCGAAUAAUUUCAUUUUCCACUCAAGUCGAGUCUGGGGUGUGCGAUAAUAUGGUAAGUGUUGUUGUAAUGAUGUGCGAUCUGACAUUAUCGAGUAUAUCACCAAAUCACACACAGAGAGUGCAUGCAGUGAUUUAUUAGUCUAUUAAAAUUCAAAAUUCAAGGCAUUCUAAAUUGUACAUGGCAAAAUGCUUCUGUAUGCUUUUUAUUUUUAUAAAAUAAAAAUAUAGUUAACAAUCUAUAUCACACAAUGAG
ensembl:lncRNA